rnacentral:rRNA from 1 species
UGCUUUACACAUGCAAGUCGAACGGCAGCACGGACUUCGGUCUGGUGGCGAGUGGCGAACGGGUGAGUAAUGCAUCGGAACGUGCCCAAUCGUGGGGGAUAACGUAGCGAAAGUUACGCUAAUACCGCAUACGAUCUAAGGAUGAAAGCGGGGGAUCGCAAGACCUCGCGCGAAUGGAGCGGCCGAUGUUAGAUUAGGUAGUUGGUGGGGUAAAGGCUCACCAAGCCGACGAUCUAUAGCUGGUCUGAGAGGAUGAUCAGCCACACUGGGACUGAGACACGGUCCAGACUCCUACGGGAGGCAGCAGUGGGGAAUUUUGGACAAUGGGCGAAAGCCUGAUCCAGCCAUACCGCGUGAGUGAAGAAGGCCUUCGGGUUGUAAAGCUC